GAGUUCAAGGUGACUCUGAGAUACCUAAUUGGAGUUGACAAAUAGACAAUUAGAUACACAGGUCUCGAGCUCAGAGGAGUCAAAACUCCCUGAAAAGAGCUGUUUGCUACCCAGCUGCGGGUCUGAUGGUUGGCUACAUCCUGGGCACUUUGCAUGCUCUCCUAGAAACAAUUGUGUUGUCAAUUCUUUCAUUGGUUCAUUAAUUCAAUGAAUAUUUAUUAGACACCAGUGAUUGUGUGGGCUCUUUGCUAGGUGCAGGCUACAUAGCAAUGAGAACCAGAUGCUAUUCCUCUCCUCCAGGAACGAACAGCCAAUGUGGUCCUGAGUGGAUUCUUUCAUCUUCACCUUCUCACUGGAUUGGGGUUAUCAAAGAUUUAUUUGUGUUUUCAGACUUCACAGCUACCUUUAGACACGAAUUUCAAAACUGUCUGCCAUUACAACAUCGAUGGUGAUCCACUUAGUAUAUUU
rnacentral:lncRNA from 1 species